UAACGCCCACAAACUCUCUUCUUUCCCGAAAACUCUUUUCGCAAACCUUCUACCGCCAAUCCUCAUAAGCUUCUCUCUUCUCGUUCAAAACAAUGUCUCCUCCUCGUCAGGAUAUUCUGACCUUCACCGACGACAGUGCUUCCGCCGUUCCCUCCUCUCCGAUGACGGUGCUUCAACCACCUCUCUAUUCUCUAACCUUCCCUCACUGUCAUUCACGCCUUCCAUCACGCAACCACCCACCCCUCUUGAUUUUUCGCAUCACCACCUAAUGCAAUCGAAGUCCCAAACCCAAGCUCACUCAGAACCCAGGCUCUUGCCAUUCCAACCGAUCUUGAGAAUCUCAUUCGAUUAUGAUGAAGACCUUGAACUUCUUAUGCGUAUUAUGAGGGGAGGAGAAGAAUAUAACUUUUAAUAGUUGUCAUGAGUGUGUAGGUGUUGGGGCUAUAAAGUGACUCCUAGGUUUGAUCAUAUAAACAAUAAGGGCUAAGCAUGUGCUAUGGAGUGCUGUAGCUGUUUUGGGUUCAUCAUGACACUUACCUGUCAAAGAAAAAUGUGUAAGCUUAAUAUUUUCUAAAACAAAUUAACUAGAAAGAUGUGAGACUGCUGGAAUAAGGUUGUGAUGAGAAUAUGGGAAGUAAAACAUAGUGUAGAAUAAUAUUCCAUGUGCAUGCAGUAUGGAACCUCAUUGAUUUUAUUCAAUGGAAAGUUAGAAACAAGGGAUGAAAGAGGGGGAGUUUAUAAAGGAAUUGGGGUCAUGGUUCAGUGGAGAUGAAUAAGGUUUUGAGGUAAGUACAGGUGGAGGAACUGCCAGGAGAGGAGUUAUGGGAAGGAGAAAUGCAAGUGGGGCUGGAGGGAAGGUGCAAGGAAAGGGAUGCAAGUGGUGUAGUUGCAAAGGGAGAGAGGAUGUAGGUGGUGGAGAAGAAGGGGAAGAGAAGCUGAGUGGUGUGGAGUGUAGCGUUUGGUGGUGGAGAAUGAAUGGAGACAGGGACUCUGAAAUUGUUGAAGGUUGGAGGAAAUUACCAAAUAAAAAAGAAGAUACGUUUAAGUAGGAAAAUAAUAAAAGUUAACUUACGACUUUAAGCAUUAAUAUGAAGUUUUGUAGUCGGUUUUUUUAUUGAUUAUUUAUUUGUACCA